rnacentral:rRNA from 1 species
CCUACGGGUGGCAGCAGUGGGGAAUUUUGGACAAUGGGCGCAAGCCUGAUCCAGCCAUUCCGCGUGAGUGAAGAAGGCCUUCGGGUUGUAAAGCUCUUUCGCAAGGGAAGAAAACUUAUCCUCUAACAUAGGAUGAGGUUGACGGUACCUUGAUAAGAAGCACCGGCUAACUACGUGCCAGCAGCCGCGGUAAUACGUAGGGUGCGAGCGUUAAUCGGACGUACUGGGCCUGAUUUGUAAGUCAGAUGUGAAAUCCCCGAGCUCAACCUGGGAACGGCGUGUGAAACUACAAGACUAGAAUAGGUCAGAGGGGGGUAGAAUUCCACGUGUAGCAGUGAAAUGCGUAGAGAUGUGGAGGAAUAUCAAUGGCGAAGGCAGCCCCCUGGGAUCAUAUUGACGCUCAUGCACGAAAGCGUGGGGAGCAAACAGGAUUAGAUACCCCGGUAGUC